UUGUUCAAUUUCCCUCAAAAAGUUAACCCUAAUUUGAAGAUCUGAGACGCAGCCGCCAAAGAAAGAAAAGGGCGAACAACAACACAACUAAUCCUUCAUGUCUCGACCUCUAAACCUCCAUAAUCACAGAAAAACGAUACUCAAAGCCUGCAUCUCUCUAUUGCUCGACCUCUAAGCCUUCAUCUCUCGUCUCUCUAUCUCUCACUUUCAUCAUCUCAUCGCAUCCCCUUGUACUCAAGUAGGUCAUUCUCUUGAUGCAGCAACUUAAGGAAUACAAACAUUCAGCCACUGUCAUAUUGCUGAAAGUCUGAAUCAUUCAUCCAGUUUGUUCCUUGUUGGGACUUUGUUCCUAGUUGGGACUGCAAUUAACUAAUUUUAACUGUGAUCUGUGAAUGUAUCAAUAUUACUAAACUCUAAUGGUUGUGGUUGAUUAAGCAGUAACAAGACAAAAAAUAGUACUUAUACAAAUUAAUUACUGUGAUUA